CGCCUGCCGCCACCCACCCAACUCCUUUCCUCCUCGUCUCCUCUCCCAACCAUCCUGCGGCACCUAGAACGGCGAUUCUGCUCCAGCCCCAGGCAGAUGGAUCGUCACCGCGGGUGUGGAGUCUCCGCAGGAUGUCACCGCACUCUGCAGAAGCUCAUCACGCACUCGGGCGUUUGUAACUCCCAGGCCAUGGCGUCCCGGCGGACCGGGUGGGCAGAGCCCGCAGGAAGCAUCCGGGCCGUGGGGGUUGUGGAGGGCGGAAGGCACCAGCGGGUCCUGGGGCCGUGGAAAUGGAGCCCCCCCGCCAUCCCCCCCACCCCCCGCAGGAAGGGCCUGAAGAAUUCACCUGCCGUUCCAUGGGAGAGCAGCUGUAGCCCCUGCCGUGUGUCCACGUCUCACCCCCACGGUCUGCUCGCUGCAGCCUCCUAG
ensembl:lncRNA